UUUUGGACAAUGGGGGCAACCCUGAUCCAGCCAUGCCGCGUGAGUGAAGAAGGCCUUCGGGUUGUAAAGCUCUUUCGGACGGAACGAAAUGGGCGGGACUAAUACUCCUGUCUGAUGACGGUACCGUAAGAAGAAGCACCGGCUAACUACGUGCCAGCAGCCGCGGUAAUACGUAGGGUGCGAGCGUUAAUCGGAAUUACUGGGCGUAAAGCGUGCGCAGGCGGUUUCGUAAGCUGGAGGUGAAAUCCCGGGCUUAACCUGGGAAUGGCCUUCAGACUGCAGGCUAGAGUGCGGCAAGGAGGUGAAUUCCACGUGAGCAGUAAAUGCGAAGUGUGAGAACACCAUGGCGAGGAGCUCCUGGCCAGACUGCGUCGUGCAA
rnacentral:rRNA from 1 species